rnacentral:rRNA from 1 species
AGUGAACGCUGGCGGUAGGCCUAACACAUGCAAGUCGAACGGCAGCACAGGAGAGCUUGCUCUCUGGGUGGCGAGUGGCGGACGGGUGAGGAAUACAUCGGAAUCUACUCUGUCGUGGGGGAUAACGUAGGGAAACUUACGCUAAUACCGCAUACGACCUACGGGUGAAAGCAGGGGAUCUUCGGACCUUGCGCGAUUGAAUGAGCCGAUGUCGGAUUAGCUAGUUGGCGGGGUAAAGGCCCUCCAAGGCGACGAUCCGUAGCUGGUCUGAGAGGAUGAUCAGCCACACUGGAACUUGGACACGGUCCAGACUCCUACGGGAGGCAGCAGUGGGGAAUAUUGGACAAUGGGCGCAAGCCUGAUCCAGCCAUACCGCGUGGGUGAAGAAGGCCUUCGGGUUGCAAAGCCCUUUUGUUGGGAAAGAAAUCCAGCUGGCUAAUACCCGGUUGGGAUGACGGUACUCAAAGAAUAAGCACCGGCUAACUUCGUGCCAGCCGCCGCCGUAA